UUUCUUUUCCUUUCCUUUUCCUGUUUAGAAAGUCUGAUUUGCUUCAUGUGCAAAAGGUGAAAUAUCUUAAAGCAAGAAGUGCUCUUCACCACCAUAAACUAAGCACCUUCAACUCUAAAAACUUCUCAGGGGAUAACCAGCAACUGAAGAAUCUGUCUUAUAAUGAGCUUUGCACAUCUGACAUGUUCCGAAGUGAUUGAAACUGCACCUUAACAGAGGAGAGAUCGGAGGCGUUACAGCCACACGGAGAAGCUGCAUACUUUCAUGAGGGCUUGAAGGGAGAUGUGGUUAUUCUGCAAUGCUUUUCUGUCUGGUUGAGAAGACUGGUGUUUUAUCUCAACAUGAUGAUCUUGAGUUUGUUUGCUUUUUCUGCUACUAUUAACAUAAGCAACUAUGCGGGGUGAAACAGAGAAGAGGCUGAAGGAAAGACACAGAAGCAGGAGACAAAUUCUGCUUGUCUAACGCUUGCAAACAGUUCUGCAGAAGU
rnacentral:lncRNA from 1 species